GCCUACGGCCUGCCGCCCUGAGAGCGGCCGGUCUCGCCUGAUCUCGGAAGCUAAGCAGGGUCGGGCCCGGUUAGUACUUGGAUGGGAGACCGCCUGGGAAUAUUUAUUUGCUAUUUGUU
rnacentral:rRNA from 1 species